GACGAACGCUGGCGGCGUGCUUAACACAUGCAAGUCGAACGGAAAGGCCCUGCUUUUGUGGGGUGCUCGAGUGGCGAACGGGUGAGUAACACGUGAGUAACCUGCCCUUGACUUUGGGAUAACUUCAGGAAACUGGGGCUAAUACCGGCUAGGAGCUCCUGCUGCAUGGUGGGGGUUGGAAAGUUUCGGCGGUUGGGGAUGGACUCGCGGCUUAUCAGCUUGUUGGUGGGGUAGUGGCUUACCAAGGCUUUGACGGGUAGCCGGCCUGAGAGGGUGACCGGCCACAUUGGGACGGAGAUACGGCCCAGACUCCUACGGGAGGCAGCAGUGGAGAAGAGUGCACAAUGGGCGGAAGCCUGAUGCAGCAACGCCGCGUGCGGGAUGACGGCCUUCGGGUUGUAAACCGCUUUCGCCUGUGACGAAGCGUGAGUGACGGUAACGGGUAAAGAAGCACCGGCUAACUACGUG
rnacentral:rRNA from 1 species